rnacentral:rRNA from 1 species
GAUGAACGCUGGCGGCGUGCUUAACACAUGCAAGUCGAACGGGAAACCUUUUAUUGAAGCUUCGGCAGAUUUAGCUGGUUUCUAGUGGCGGACGGGUGAGUAACGCGUGGGUAACCUGCCUUAUACAGGGGGAUAACAACCAGAAAUGGUUGCUAAUACCGCAUAAGCGCACAGGACCGCAUGGUCCGGUGUGAAAAACUCCGGUGGUAUAAGAUGGACCCGCGUUGGAUUAGCUAGUUGGCAGGGUAACGGCCUACCAAGGCGACGAUCCAUAGCCGGCCAGGGAGGGUGACCGCCCACAUUGGGACUGAGACACGGCCAAGACUCCUACGGGAGGCAGCCGUAGGGACUACUACCCAAUGGGGGAAACCCUGAUGCAGCCACGCCGAGUGAAGGAAGAAGUCUCUCGGUAUGUAAACUCCCCUCAGAAGGGCAGAUAGUGACGGUACCUGACCAAGAAGCCCCGGCUAACUACGUG